rnacentral:lncRNA from 1 species
AGCCUAUUUCUUCUAUUAUGCUGAGUUAGUCCUAGUAGGAAAGUCGGUGAUAGUUGAGGCCGAACCCACUGGGAGCUUUGUUGUAGUUCUCACCCCACUAUUUCCACAGAGCCGGGACCGAGCGAGCCGGCGAGCGACCGAGGUAAAGGUAUCGCGCCUUAGUCAGAGGCCACCAAAGUUGGGUUACAUUUUGUUAGUAGCUACCCCCAUGUUCAUCUUUUUGUACUUGAUGAUUAGUAAUGUAAAGAAAGAAUGUAAGCUUAUUUUGAGGUAAAUGUGAUGUAAGAAAGAAAUGAUGAAAUGAUAUAAUGAACGUAAGAAUCGAUAAAUUACUAGAUGAAUGCAAUGCAUAUGAUCUAAAAUGAAUCAUAAUUACCUGUGAAUGUUUAGUUUCCUUUUUUCUUUCACUAAUGGCUAUUGCUUACCCUCGUGUAAGCCGUUUGUGUAUGUUUCCGCUGUGCUUUUCUCUAUUGAUGAAAAUGUACAUGUGAUGAGCCUUGGCGGAUAGGGGAAACUCUGUCCCGUUCGCGUCUGUUUGACGUGCUCGGGUCGGGCCAAAUUGGCAUCGGUCCCGGGGCAUGACAGAUAAGUUGGUAUCAGAGCCAAUAGUGAAAGAAUAGGAAUGGACCUAGAGACCCUUAGGAUUGGAAGGCCUUAAGGAUCUAGGAAACGUGAGUGACGUGGAAUCAAAGUUAGCGAAAGCAUGUGAUUGGGUUAAGUUGGGAUGUCUUUAAUGUGAUUAGAGGCUAAGUUUAAUUUUCGUUUAUCCUUUACUUCUAGUGUUGUGCCGGGCGGCCGACGACAUGACGCUUGAGGCAAGGAUGAAUGUGCAUGUUGCUUUCGCCUAAUUGGGUAUGGUCAAGUAAUGUUGGUCAAGUGACUAAUGCGAGUUGCUUCUUUUCAGGAAGCAAUGGCACCUCGACGUCGAUCGCAAAUAAGGUCGAUGCCGGAGGAAGCAAAUGCGAUGCCCGAGCAAUCCGGAGCGAGUGGCGACGGAGAGCUUAGGGAACAAAUGGCCGCGCUCGUCGGAGUAGUGCGGCAACAAGCGGAGUCUGUUCAGCGCCAAGGGGAACAGAUUUAGCGGCUCCAGGAGACCUUGGAGCGCCAGUAGGCGGCGGCGGCCCAGGCGGGCGUCGAGCAUGUCGCGCCCCCUGCGGUAGUGCCGAGCGUGGACGUGGGAGCGGCGGCAGCGGCGGCUGUUCCAGUUACGGUAGUACCGGCCGGGUCGGGAACCUCGAAUCCCGAUAGCGCGGCAGUCGAUGCGGAGCGAGAGCGCACUCUGGCGGCUCUCAUUCAGUUCAAGAAGUUCGACCCACCUACCUUCGAAGGCGGUUUGGUGGAGCCAGCGGUUGUGGAGUCGUGGAUCGACUCGAUGGAGACCCUCUUCGAGGAUUUGAAUACCUUGGAGAAGGAUAAAGUGUACCUCGCCACCCAUUGUCUAGGGAAGGCGGCGACGGUGUGGUGGAAGCGAGUUAAGCGGGAUCGACCUGCCGAUCUCCCGCUCAUGCUUUGGGAAGAGUUCAAGAGAUCAGUGUUCGCGAACUACUUCCCCGACACGGUGAAGCGGAGGUUACAAGAAAAGUUCCGCAAGUUGAGACAGGGCGAUCGUUCGGUGGGAGAGUAUGAGCAAGAAUUUUCCCACAUUAUUGACUGCGUUCCCGAUGUUGUUCGCGAUGAUCGGGACCGGGCGGAUUGGUUCUUGCGAGGACUCCAACCCCGGAUUUAUGAAAAAGUGCAGAUCUUGAAGCUGUCGACCUUUGCGGAGGUCUUCGAUAGAGCUUUGUGGGCGGAGCACGGUAGCGCCCAUGUGCGUGAAGAACGAGAAGCUAUUGCCGAGUCCAAGGACAAGGGCAAGAAGAGGACGGCGGGUGGUGCCGGGGGCCGGCCAAAUGCUAAGAAACCCCCUCGGUAUCCCCGACAGCAGUCGAGGAAUUGGAGACCAUAUCGAUGCGUUAUAUGUGGCGGAAAGCACAAGGUGUCGACUUGCCCGCAGCGAGACGGCAAAUGCUUCAAAUGUGGCCAACCGGGACAUCUUAUCCGGGAGUGCCCGUCGUGGACGUCGUCUGCGCCAACGGCAGCAUCAACACCGUCUACCCCGAGACAGCUUGCGGGUUACCACCGGCGAUGUCGGCUGGACGCGCGUCAGCACCGCGUCAGCCGGAGGGAUCGAGAGCGCCUAGCGGUCGAGUCUUUGCCGCUCAGGUGGAGGAGCAACAACCUGCAGCACCCGACGACGUCGUGGCAGGUAUAAUUGUGAUUAAAGGCACUAGAGCUAGAGCCGUGUUUGACACAGGCGCAUCUCAUUCAUUCAUUAGCACUUCAUUUGCUAAGACUCAUGGCAUAGAGAUGGUGUACAAUGAGGACUACUGGUGGGUGAAUGCCCCAGAACAUUCAUUCAGUGUCCACAACGAGUGUUUGGCGUGUCCAGUGCAAAUAGGCGAUUGGAUUAUGCCGGUUGAUCUGCUAGUGCUAGAUUAGAUGUGGGAAUUUGAUGUUAUCUUGGGGACCAACUGGCUCUCACAAAUACGAUGCAGUGAGAAUUGUGAAAGCAAGGUAUCACUUUUCGUCGAACCUAAUCAACGAAGAUUUAGUCUACCAAGCGUGGCAAAAGUAGGACCUUCAGGGGCACUAUAUCGCUUAAGGGGAAGAAAAAUCAAGAGGAGUGUAAGGCUAUUUGCACCAUGUGGAUUCUGAAAGAGUACCACUUGGGAGAUAUUGAUAUGUUGCGAGUACUCUAUAUUUCCGGGAUCACCCAUGGACUUUGCACCGAAUCGGUGAUGAGUUUGUCAUUGACUUAAUUCCGGCGGAACUACAGUUUCGACUCGCUCUGUACGAAUGCAGCCAGUGGAGUUAAAGAGAGCUAACGAAGGUCAAUUACAGACUCCUAUCAUAAAAGGCUCUGUGAGACCGACGUGUGUCACUGGGGACUCGGCUGAGCUAUUGAAAAAAAGUACGGUACAUGGCCUUCCGACUCUCGUAGAUUUGAGAAUUGAAACAAUAGUAACGAUAACAAGAACAAGUACCUCACUUGCAGGAGAUAUGAUGAUCCUAAUUCGAUCAGUUGCAAAGGUCCAAGGUGUAUUAAGAUCAUCUCCAAUCGGGAUAUCAAUCAAUAAAAAUCAGGCCAAGAGGAUUGCACCAACGCAUACGGCGACCCGUCCGCGUAUAUGGCAUAUGAUUCACUUAUAUUCCGAGUUUGGGCUUACUAAUGCGACCAGCAGGCAUUUAUAGACUUUAUGAAUCAGUCUUUAGGGCCAGUUGUUGGAUGCGAGGUGCGUCGUGUGUUUUAUAGACGACGUAUGGCUACCUUCGACCAAGCGACAGAGUAGCAUGAAAGAGCAUCUGAGAGCUGUGUUCCAAAUAUCAAGACAAAGAAGACUCUAUCAAAAUUGAAGAUAAUGUGACUUUUGGCUAAAGGAGGUCCAUCAGUUCUUUGGUUCUGGGUAUUCUGGCGGACGGAGUUUCGGUAGACCGAAGAAAGUGAAACGAUGAACAUGAUUGGCCUCGCCCAACCGAUUAUCGGAGAUCCGCAGUUUUAUCUUGGACUAGCGGGCUACUACCACUUCAUCGGUUUCGUGAGGUCGCAGCAAACAUAACCACUCCACUAAUCAGGCCACCAUAAGGAUAAAUACGUGUGAUGCCGAGCGAUUGCGAUCGAAGACUUCGGAUUAAAGAACAUUGACGUCGCCCCUGUGUUUGCCUGCCGACUCGGGAGAUCUUUUGUAGUGUACAUGAUCUUCUAGUUGUCUCGGUUUGCUGUAUUAAUGCAAAUGGCGUCUACUUGCAUAUGCCUCGCUGCCAUUAAAGAUUACGACGAAGAACUUAUACCCGAUUCACACUACUCUUGAGUUGCCGCCCAUCGGUUGAAAUUCGAUUCCGCGCCUAAAAAAUGUAACAUAUAUGGUAGCAAUUGGUAGGUAUAUAGCUCCGCGAUCACUAAGAUCUCAGGAGUGACUACAAAAGAUUUAAAUAUGGGCUACAUUACGACGUGGUAUAAGUUCGUAAACGUGACUAUGAUUCACUAUAUAUACCACCUGAUACCACCCAUCGAAAACCAAUGUCUGCCAAGGCCUAAGUAGAAGAAUUCGCGGCAGAACCUAGCGACGGCAAUGACCCCAGCCGCUAUUACAAAAGCGAAUGCAACAUUCAGGAGUGAAGUGGUACUCCCGGAGUGCCGCUACCCUGCCACAUUGGUUGCAACCGACCCUAUUUGAAAAUAUCAAGAUUACAAGCUUCGACCAUUAUCUCCAAAAGUCUCGGGUGAUUUGAACAUGGAUAUGCGAAGACAUCUUGUCGUUGAGUUUUGGCGCAAUUAACGAUUUCGAAAAGAAUAGUUUUGCCUAAAGAUGAUGAUUAAAGGCGAAUCAUGCACAGAACCGCAUCAACUCCCUAUAGUGAUACACUCCGUCACUAAAUAAUGUACACAGCGAUUGAAAAGCACUAUUGUGGCCGCGGAUGAAAAGAGAUAUUGGGGAGUUCGUUGCCAAUUUUAACCGUGCCACAGGCUUUAAAAGCAAGCGCCGAUUCUCGGCGGGAAAGCACAAAGUCUACCAAUACCUCAGUUGGAAAAUGACAAGAUAUGAGCAAUGUACUUUGAUACCGUUUGACCUUGAUCGUCAAUGCGACACGACCGAUAUGGUAAUAAGUGAUCGAAUUUGACAAAAGUCGCACAACUUGUCUGCCGUAUACCGACCUGACGGGUCGGGAGACAGCUAGUCGCAAGUUUUACUCGAACAGAAGUUGUGAGACUUCAUGGGUCCAUGUUGAUCGGUUCGGAUACGAAGACUACGCCCUAGGUUCACACCCAGUCUUUUUAACGAGUUUGCAAGACGGCGCUAGGCACUAGCGCUCGACUUCAGUACAGAGACGUUUCUAUCCUCAGCAGUGUAUUAGACCAUACAGACGCGAAACAAUAACAACAUCCUUGAGAUUUACACUUCGGCGUUUUGUGCUAGAUUACACAGGAGAGGCUAUGACUUCUUGCAUAUUUCGAGUUCCUACAAUAAAUACUACCAAGAAGUAUAACGCGAUGGCUCCUUUCUGAGGCACUAUAUAGUUCGACUAAGUGUCGUCCGUCUAUCCAUUUGAGCGACGGGGCCGAGAGAACGACUCUUUGGCCCUUGUGUGCGGAGGCGAAAGACGAAAGUCCGCUUGCCGUCAACGUGCGAUGCGCAAUCUCCUUGCAAAACGAUUAUGCCGACAAGAGCCAAAAAGAUUUAAGUUCGCGUUGGGUACGUGUAUUCUUAAUAUGUCUCGAUAUCGGAGGAGUUAAACGAUUCCGGGGUCCGUGGAGUCGAAGCCUCCGUUAAUGUUGCGACCGUUUGAAGAUAAUUGGAGGUGUUGGGUGCGGAUGCGUAUAACUUCGCACACACCUGAGACUGCAAGGAAGAGUCAGCAAUGUUUUCAUGUCGAAUCUUCGAGAAGUAUACAUGCCAAACUGCAACACAUGAUUGAAUAACGAGCCGUGAUACUGAAGACAUUCCCUAUGAGAGCAGCCCGGUUUCCUCGAUCGAUCCGAAUAAAAAUUAAGAAUCGCAUCCAAAUCUUAUGUAAAAGUCAAUGGACAACCACCGCGCGCGAGAACCCUGGUGACUCGAGGAGUCAAUGUCAAAGAGUACCCGCAUUGUUAAAUGACGAUAAGGUUGCGUAAUUUCGACGACGAUAAUAUUUAAGGGGUUGGAAAAUAGUAAUCAUAUCCCGCGAAAAUUCGGUAAAAUAAAAAUGUGAACUUUAGUCAAUGACAACAGUGCGAAGACGGGAACACUGGUUCGAAAAAAUCCGAAGGUGUUAAAAUGAUCUAAAGUGAGUUGUGGAAGGUUUUCGAGAGCUAAAGGAUCAAAUUCUGCGAAACUGCAGAUUUUCAGCUCUCGGGGACCGGUCCCUGGUGGGAGAGACCGGUCCCCGAACGCGUAUGAAAUGAGACAGCCGAAAAAUCGGCUAAGUCCUGAGAAAGUAGCUCUCGGGAACCGGUCCCUACCCGAGCGACCGGUCCCCCGGAGACCGGUCCCAUCAGAGAGAGACCGGUCGCAUCACGCGCAGCGGCUCUGGCUGCGCAGGGUGGACGUUCGGGAACCGGUCCCUGCUCGGGGAGACCGGUCCCUGCCUGCGCGAACUGCCCAGUUCGGGCAGUGUAUUAAAGUGAAAGUUGAGGGGUUUUAUUGCAUUUUUGCAACCCAUUGAGCUAUGUUAGAGGGUUAAUGAGAUUUUCUCUCAUUCCCACCCUCUCAAACACUCUCUUCUCUCCCUCUCUCUCUCUAGAAGGCAAAGGAGAAGAAGAAGAAAGAAAGAAAGGAAGGAAAAGAAGGAGAGGAAAGUGAAGAAGAAGAUCAAAGAGCAAAGGAGCUUCAUCUUCUUCCUCUCUAGUGCGAGAAAAGGAAGUUUACAAGGUAAGCUUUGAACCCUAAUGUAGUAAAAUCCUAAAAUGGGUUUGAAUGACCUAGAAAUGAGUUUUAGUGAGAUGUUUAAAGAGUUUUGAAGCUUUCUUUUGCUUCUAAAGAGAUCAAAACCUAGAUUUGUUAUAGAGGUGAGCUUGGACCACCUCUCAUGGUGAAAUCCAAACUAGGAUUUUGGAAAGCCUAAGAAUGGUUCUAAUGGAUUAUAUAGAGUAUAAUGGAGCUACUUUUGCUUCCCAAUGAGAUCAAACCCUAGGUUUUGUAUAUGCAUUGGAGCUAGGGCACCCAAAUUGGGGCUUUUGCUCAUAGGGGUUUCUAAGUGCAAUUAACCCUCUAGAAACCUAAUUGGGGGUAUUUUCGACGCGUUGGUGCGCUCGGAAUAGCAUUUCGAAAAGUGUAUGUAAAGUUAUGGCCAAAUAAGCCUAAUUUGGCUUCGUUAUGCCGCAGGUAAAGAAAAAAACGUCUGAAAAUCCCGAGAAAAUCGUCGGAGCACCUAAAGAGACCUACAAGGUGGGUGGUGCUUCUCAAACGUAUUGAACUUCCCUCUAUGCCUAAUGUGUCAUUCUUUGAGCAUAUGUUCUAUAUAUUGUUGCAUGCAUUUUAGGGUAAAGUAAUGAUGAAAUGUGAUGAUUGCAUGAUUGUGAGUACAACUUGCAUAAUGAGAUGGUUGAGAACCUGAUAAUGUAAAAACCCUAUGUGUAUGCAUGAGAGAAAAGUGAGCACCCAAAGUGAGCAAAAGAACCGAGUGGCACAAUGACAUAGAUCGAGUGGCAUUCGAUAAAGCUAAUGUGAAAUGACACUAGAGUUAGUGUGAUGUAAAGAACUAAAGUGAUGUAAAGAAUGAAGAAAGUGACAACGUGUAAGGUCAAAGUAAAAUGGGGCAAUAAGAACAAGAAUUGUAACGAACAAGAAUGCUAGAGUUAGCAAGAGAAAUGAAAAUGUAAAGAAUGUGAUUGCAUGAGUUUGCAACAUAAAGUGAUGUAAAGAACACUAGAGCUAGUGUAAAGUCAAGAUUGAACUUAUAAAUCUUUUGAGUUAAGGAUAUGAUCAUACUUGCUAUGAGUUCUGUGCUCGAGGGCGGUCGCUUCCCCUCGGGCGAUGCGCUCCGGAGUUAUACAUCCGGGUUGGAGUAAACCCGUAAGGACGGUCCUAGCUGGUGAGUUCCUGCGAUGAUGGACUUAAUGUGAAGCAAGUUAAUGUGGCGAAACCCCCGGGUUAGCCUUAAUGAUUAAAGAGCAAAGAGUAAAGAACAAAGAGCCAAGAACAAAGUGUAAAGUGCAAAGAACUAAAGAACAUGCAUAACCUGCAUUUAUGUAAUGUUGAGCAUAAUUCUUGCUAUUUGUUCAGGCAUAUUAGCAUUAUGUAUAGUUUGGUUACUAUUUACAGCCUAUUUCUUCUAUUAUGCCUGAGUUAGUCCUAGUGGGAAAGUCGGUGAUGUUGAGGCCGAACCCACUGGGAACUUUGUUGUAGUUCUCACCCCACUAUUUCCACAGAGCCGGGACCGAGCGAGCCGGCGAGCGACCGAGGUAAAGGUAUCGCGCCUUAGUCAGAGGCCACCAAUGUUGGGUUACAUUUUGUUAGUAGCUACCCCAUGUUCAUCUUUUGUACUUGAUGAUUAGUAAUGUAAAGAAAAGAAUGUAAAGCUUAUUUUGAGGGAAAUGUGAUGUAAGAAAGAAAUGAUGAAAUGAUGUAAUGAACGUAAGAAUUCGAUAAAUUACUAGAUGAAUGCAAUGCAUAUGAUCUAAAAUGAAUCAUAUUACCUGUGAAUGUUUAGUUUCCUUUUUCUUUCACUAAUGGCUAUUGCUUACCCUCGUGUAAGCCGUUUGUGUAUGUUUCCGCUGGUGCUUUUCUCUAUUGAUGAAAAUGUACAUGUGAUGAGCCUUGGGCGGAUAGGGGAAACUCUGUCCGUUCGGCGUCUGUUUGACGUGCUCGGGUCGGGCCAAAUUGGCAUCGGUCCCGGGGCGUGACACCGCUAGUGCAUUUCUUGUUUGAAUUUGUACAUGUGAUGAGCCUUGGGCGGAUAGGGGAAACUCUGUCCGUUCGGCGUCUGUUUUACGUGCUCGGGUCGGGCCAAAUUGGCAUCGGUCCCGGGGCGUGACAGAGGUCCUCCCUGGACAGUGGCGAUUGAUGUGCCCCGCCUGACCAUAUGUGAAGCAUCUCCCCUCCUUCUGCUUGCAACGGUUCGGGUCAUGGUUACCGCCGCAACUGACGCACUGCUGAGUCCCACGACUCUAGGAUAGCGCUCACGGGUACUUCGGAGGCUUAUUCGACCUCGACUGACCUCCCGAAUCAUCUGGGGCUCGCUUUUUACCCCCGUCCCUCUCGAACGCCUCUUGCUUCUCAUGGAUGUGGGCAUUGCCAUGCCCCCCCCAAAACGCUCGAUCGAGCACCUCCGCGAAUGUAGUAAGCUUUAGGAUGUGAACCGCCCUAUAGAUGUUCGACCAGAGCACUUGCUCGAACCAAUCGGCUCGAUCCCUGUCGUUUCGCACCACGUCGGGGACGCAGUCAAUAAUGUGUGAGAACUCCUGCUCGUAUUCUCCAACCGAGCGGUUUCCUUGCUUUAACUUUCGGAACUUAUCUUGGAGCUUCUUCUUCUCACUAUCGGGAAAAUAGUUGGUACACAUCAAGCUCCGAAAUUCCUCCCACAUCAACGGCGGAAGAUCGAAAGACCGAUCCCGCUUGAUCCACUUCCACCACACCUUCGCCACCCGCUCUAAGCAAUGUGUGGCGAGGUGGACUUUAUCCUUCUCUAGUGUAUAGAGAUCUUCGAAAAGAGUCUCCAUCGAGUCCACCCACGACUCGACCAUCCAAGGCUCAACCUUCUCCCCAUUGAACAUCGGGGGACUAAACCUUCGAAACAUCAUAAGAGUCGCAAGCCCGUGCGCUCUCUCUCCGCUUCCAACGCAACACCUUCGGGAUCAGAGGUUCCCGAACUAGUAGCUACCAUUGCUGGCGCGGUUGCGCCAUAACCAGCACGGCCGCCAUAGCCACGCCCUCCGUCACGACAGGCGCAACAACAAGAGGCGCAAGUCGCUCAACAUCCGCUUGAGCCGACGACUGUUGCACCACCAACUCUCGCAGCCUCGCAAUCUGGUCCUCCUGGCGCUGCAUCGCGCCGACCAUCGAAGCAAUCUGCGCUGGCAAUUCCCGCACUUCUUUAGAUCCCGACUGCUCGGGCACCUCGGGAGGUGGUGCCGAAGCGAAUCUAGUCACGGGGCGUCUCUUUGGUGCCAUAAGCUCCUAAAACGUAACAACUUGGUUAAUCUUCUUAACCCAUUAACUCUCACAAUUACGAGACAACGCGACUCAACAUUGCAAAUUAGGCGGAAGCACACAAGUGUACUUGUUCUAAACUCUUAGCGUCAUGUUGUCGACCGCCAAACACAAUCACUUCAAGUCAAGAAUGCAUACCACUUAAAUCCGUCUCUAUCACCACUAGAGACAUAUUAUCAACAACUUCGACCCAAUCGAAUCAACUCCCGCCACAACGCAUAGGUUCACGUCACUCACGCACCUAUGUCCUUAAGGUUUACCGUCCUAGGGUCUCCUAGGUCAAUCCUAGACUCUCUCUUUACUUGCUCUGAUACCAUUUUAUCUGUCACGUCCCGCGACCCACCAAUUUGGUCGGAUCCGGGCACGUUGAACAAACGCCGGACGGAUAGCACCUCCCCUGUCCGCCCAAGGCUAAACAACAAUAAUAUCAUGUACAAGAGUUGCCCAGGAAAAACUCAUUCAACAUACAUGAUACAUGCAAGUGUAAGAAGCACCACAAGUGCGAUACAAUUAAGAGCAAGAAUCACAAGUAACAUACAAGUGAAUAAAGAGAGACAGUUCUAGCUAUUACAUCACAUUCAACAUUUACAUACUGAUUUACAUUUUGACUGCAUUCUUUUCAUCUACCAAAAUGAAUACAUAUUCUUCUCAUAAUACCAAAUGGCUCUCCAACUAGCACCAUCACCAAUAUACAACACAUAUCACUCAUGUACACGAGGUUACUCUAAUGUAAAAUGGAAGCCGCUAGCUAAUUAGGGCGCUAUGCCCUUAUCGCGAUCAACUGCCUGUACGCUCUCGCUAGGCUAUGCAACAAAGUGGGGUGAGAACUAUAUAAAUAUAGUUUCCAGUGGGUUCGGCCGCCGACUCCGCCGAUCUUCUCACUAGGUCUAAGCAGGUAUAAGCAGAUAGAUAGAUAGAUAGAUAUGAAAUUGAAGUGCAACAUAGUAAAGUAAUCUGCAACAUUCUACUAUGCCUUCAAUAAUCCAAUGCAUGAGCUACUACAUAGUAUGCAAUCUACAACAUGCUACUAUGCCUCAAUAAUCCAAUGCAUGAGCUACUACAUAGUAUGCAAUCUACACAUACUACUAUGCCUCAACAAUAAAAGAAAUGAGCUACUACAUAGUAAUGUAUUCUACAACAUGCUACUAUGCCUCAAUAAUCCAAAAGUAAUGAGCUACUACAUAGUAUACAAUCUACCACAUGAUACUAUGCCUCGAUAAUAAAAUCUCAUGGCUAACCCGAAGGUUACUGCCCAAGACCAACCCGAAGGUUGCUACCCCGACUCACAUCUCAAAUCUUGCUAGUGGAGAGACUCUGAGCUACUCCCACCCGAAACCCGUCUGCGGGACAACUACGUUUGCCCGAACGCGACUACUACUCCGGAGCUCACUACUUGUGUGGAGCGGCCACGCCAAGAUUACACAGAUUAUGUUAGUAUAAUCCAAUCCCCUCACUGGGGAAUACCUUGUCCAAUAGGGUCAUAGUGCCUCUACUGCACAAACUCAAUGUCCACAACACGACAAUCGGAAAUCUACUAUCCCUAGGUUCAAAUGCCAUAGUGUUCUGCUACACUAGAUUCAAAUGCCACUCAUUAUGUCAUAAUGUUGUAAGUGUCUCACUACACUAAGGGCGUGUUUGGUUCACUUCGUUUUCACCCUAGAAUCGGAAUCGAAAUGGGUGAAUCUGUUUGUAGGUGUUUGGUACGGGGGAGUCCUAUUCCGAUUUCGAUUUCUAAGUGGAAUGGAAAUCCCCUAAUCACCUCAUUUUUCAAUCCGGCUCGGACGGAAUGGAUAUUUAUUCGAAUUAAAUUUAUUUUUUCAACUUUUUUAAUUAAAAUAUGAGUUAAAAUUUAAAAAUU